GUAGAUCAGAAGUGAGAAUGUUGACAUGAGUAGCGACAAACAGGGUGAGAAACCCUGUCGCCGAAAGUCCAAGGGUUCCUGCUUAAAGCUAAUCUGAGCAGGGUAAGCCGGCCCCUAAGGCGAGGCCGAAAGGCGCAGUCGAUGGGAACCAGGUUAAUAUUCCUGGGCCGUGAGGUGGUGACGGAUCGCAGAGGUAGUUUGCCCUUAUCGGAUUGGGUGGGCUGCUGAGUGGUCCCUGGAAAUAGCCCCUCUAUAAGACCGUACCCUAAACCGACACAGGUGGACUGGUAGAGAAUACCAAGGCGCUUGAGAGAACCACAUUUAAGGAACUCGGCAAAAUGCCUCCGUAAGUUCGCGAGAAGGAGGCCCUGUUCGUACGCAAGUAUGGGCAGGGGGCACAAACUAGGGGGUGGCGACUGUUUACUUAAAACACAGGGCUGUGCGAAGCCGUAAGGCGACGUAUACAGUCUGACGCCUGCCCGGUGCUGGAAGGUUAAAAGGAGGGGUGCAAGCUCUGAAUUGAAGCCCCAGUAAACGGCGGCCGUAACGAUAACGGUCCUAAGGUAGCGAAAUUCCUUGUCGGGUAAGUUCCGACCUGCACGAAUGGCGUAACGAUCUCCCCGCUGUCUCAAAUGUGGACUCAGCGAAAUUGAACUGUGUGUCAAGAUGCACACUACCCGCGGUUAGACGGAAAGACCCCAUGAACCUUUACUCCAGCUUUGCACUGGCGACAGGAAUGCGAUGUGCAGGAUAGGUGGUAGACUUUGAAGCGGGGACGCUAGUCCUCGUGGAGUCAUCCUUGAGAUACCACCCUUCGCCUUCUUGUUGUCUAGCCGCGGUCCGUCAUCCGGAUCCGGGACCCUGCAUGGUGGGGAGUUUGACUGGGGCGGUCGCCUCCCAAACAGUAACGGAGGCGCGCGAAGGUAGGCUCAGACCGGUCGGAAAUCGGUCGUUGAGUGCAAUGGCAGAAGCCUGCCUGACUGCAAGUCUGACAAGACGAGCAGAGACGAAAGUCGGUCAUAGUGAUCCGGUGGUCCCAAGUGGGAGGGCCAUCGCUCAACGGAUAAAAGGUACUCUGGGGAUAACAGGCUGAUGAUGCCCAAGAGUCCAUAUCGACGGCAUCGUUUGGCACCUCGAUGUCGGCUCAUCUCAUCCUGGGGCUGGAGCAGGUCCCAAGGGUAUGGCUGUUCGCCAUUUAAAGAGGUACGUGAGCUGGGUUUAGAACGUCGUGAGACAGUUCGGUCCCUAUCUGCCGUGGGUGUAGGAGAUUUGAGAAGAGUUGCCCCUAGUACGAGAGGACCGGGGUGAACGUUCCACUGGUGGACCAGUUAUCGUGCCAACGGUAGUGCUGGGUAGCUAUGAACGGACAGGAUAACCGCUGAAGGCAUCUAAGCGGGAAGCCCCCUUCAAAACAAGAUCUCCCUUGAGAGCCGUGGAAGACCACCACGUCGAUAGGCCAGAGGUGUAAGAGCAGUAAUGCUUUCAGCUGACUGGUACUAAUUGCUC
rnacentral:rRNA from 1 species